ACCUGUAAAAACAAAACAAAACAAAACAAAACAAACAAAGGCCACAUAUGAUUUCUCCUUCAAAACAGCAGAAGUGAUCAUUUCAAACUUUCUCAAUGAAGUUUCAGAUACUAAGUGAGCACUGCCGUGUUACAGCAGGAUCAAUUAAUCUGUGUCAGAGGUGGACAGCUGCCUUCAGUCAAGAAAAGUCAACUAUGGCAGAGACCAUGAGAAUAGAAGUUGUGUGUGUGAAAAGUCUAGAAGAAAGAGUUAUGCUACCCAAGAACUUAGCUUUUACCUACUGUGCUCACCAACAACCAGAAGAACCACAACUUGAAAACAACAGUAAUAGCGUAUUUUUCAAACUCAGAAAUUGACAGUAUAAACUCAGGCCCAUCCAUCAAAUACUCAGCAAUUAUACAUCACUGUUUCAACACUCAAAACAGCACUUCCAGAUUCUCGGAGACAUGUAAGCCUCACAAAUGCACGCCUCGUUCUAAGGAUUUUACAAACCAUCUGUACCAUGGAGAACCUAGGGACCCUAAAAGUACAGAGUGGAUCCCAAGACCCUGGCAUUUCCUCCCUAUCUCUCCAAAUGCAGCCUUCUCCUUUAUUCUCAGUUCCAGCUCAGCAUUUCUUCCCUUGUGAUCUCUGAGCUGAGCAGGCGCCUCCAUAGUCCUGCUCAGACAGGUUGCUCUCCUGCUCCAGGACACCGGUGUUGGUUCUACGUCUUCUCUACCGACAAGCACACAUACGUUAUUUUUUUGGUAGUCAAACAUCAUUUCCCAAUACUCUAGUGAAGUAAUUAUUUGGCCAGUGGAGACUCCCUCUUAACUACAACAAGAUGUGUCUGUGUAAUGCUCGGAUGGUGCCAGUCUCUGCUUGCCUACCUGAGUCUUUUUCUUCUUGUUUUGGUAUUGCUGAUCAAAUUCAAGGCGUGUGAAUGCUGGGUAAGUAUUCUAUCACUCAGCUACAUCCCAGCCCUAUCCCUCUCUUUAAAAAUAGGGAAGAACUGGAGUUGGGGAUUUAGCUCAGUGGUAGAGCGCUUACCUAGGAAGCGCAAGGCCCUGGGUUUGGUCCCCAGCUCCGAAAAAAAGAACCAAAAAAAAAAAAAAAAAAAAAAAAAAAAAAAAAAAAAAAAGGGAAGAACCCCCUCCGCCCCCUAGUCUCCAUUUCCCUUUUAUCCUCCUGUUUCCCCUUCUUCCUGCUAAGGUGUUCACCUGCUGAGGAGAGCCCACAAUCUUACGGGGCCCAACUAUGACUAAAUUUCUUUUCCCCAGUUCACUCUUUCUGAACCGUGGCUGGGUAUUUUCCAACUGAAAAAGCCUCAAGUAAAGGUCUAUGGAAGCCGAGCUUAUCUAACAUGAAACCUCAACCUUACCACUCAAAACCAAGACCCAACUUCCUGCCCCCUCAGCUCUGCAUUUUGGCACCUGGCACCACAGACUUGCUACGCUGGGGGAAUUUUAUGCACCCAUGCUGUCCAUUAUGGUGGUUACUAAGCCACAGGUGGCUACUGAGUUAUCUGAAAUGUGGCUAUGCAAAUGAGGGAGAACAACCAUAAUUUGAAGUUAAAUCAUUACACAGAGGUAGAAGCUACCAUUCUAGCCUCACUGCUAAUCGUCAGCUUUCAGCACUUCCUAUGUUUGAAGUUAUUGGGCCUUUUCAUGUCUUUCAGUUUUAUUUCCUUCUCUAUUUCCGUUGCCACCUUCACUCACACUGUGACUAACAACUGCAAAUGCAUCCUAACCUUAAGCCAAGAAACAAAGUUUCCCACCAGCAUUUCUAGUUUAGCAGUUUAGAACUAUUGCCAAACAAGCUUCUGGGCACAGUGUCCUUUAUCCUUCCCUUAUUGGACUUACUGGUCUGGUACGAGCACCUCCUACCCUGUCAAAAAAGGUCCGGUUUUUCAGCUUACAGCUGCCUAUCACAAGGUUUCAUUUUGGCCCUGGACCUUUUGCACCGGUGACAUCCCAUCAGGGUGCUUUCUUUUUUUCUGUCUAAGUAAAUUCUAAGCUCUCUGCAACUCCAGCCUUUAAUAAACCCACUUAUCUGUUGAAAUCCUGCCAUGUAGAGUUGUUGCCUGAGAGCACUACCUUUGUCCUUUCAUCGUAUGUUUGCCUCACAUCCUCAACUGCAUCCUCUGUCUCAGAUAGGGCAUGGUACUCAGCAUGCUGACUGGCUCUCGUGUGAUUAAAAUGUCGGUUCACAAGAUAGCGCAUCAUAGUGUUAAUCUUUGCUUAUCUUUAAUAAACAGGACAGUUGCAAGACAAGGGUAAGACAGUUUGGGGUACGAGUAUGACAGGUUUUGAUCACGGUUUUUCAAGCUCGUCUAAAUGAUUAAACCAUUAGUCAGUGAACAGUUAUGCUGUUCAACCUGUUAACACUAGGUUAGAGAUCACGCUAGAUUUUAAAUAGCUGGUAAAAUACUGUUCCAAAUCCAGUCCACACUAGUACUUCCUGUAUGCACACUAGAGUCAGCAGCACGACCUCCCCCAAAAGCUUCCAUUGAAGAACUUAGAGCCUGAUAAGUCAACCGCAUGGAACAUUAGUAAUCUAAACUAUCUAAUCAGCUCAAGUACAGAGAUCUCCAAAGGUGGCUCACAGUGCUCCUAAAAUAGUGCUACCUUCCAGGUCAGGCAGGAAUCAUACGGAAUGAAGAAGAUGUCAGAAGGCAAAGAAGCCAUCACAGACCAAUUGGGCUCUAUCAAAAGAACAAAGGAGCCUAUCAAAGGAGCACACAGUGGCCUAAUAGGGGACAACUUAAAUAUAAAAGUGUUUCCAAUGGACUAAACCAGGUUUGUGAUGGUUAAUAGACUGGCUGUCAACCUGACAGGAUGAAAAUCAUCUAGCUGGUGAGCUUCGCAGCAUACCUGUGAGGAUCAAUCUAUACUAGGCAGCCUUUGGGCAUGGUUGUGAAGGAGUAUCUUGAAUAGGGUAAGAAGGUGUUGUCCAUUGCCUUAACUAUGGACAACACCAUACCAUGGGCUAGACCUAAAUAAAAAGGAAAAGUGAGCUGAGCACUCUGCUUCCUGAUGUCCUCUCCUUCCACCAGGACAUCCUCCCAGACCCUCCAACUGUGACCACAAAGUUAACCCUUUCUUCUUUAAGUUGCUUUUACUACUUUAGUUUAGCAACAGGAAAAAUAAUGCAACAUCUAAUAUCUAUUUUGAGUUAAUAACAAUGUUAAACAAUAUAUUCAAGGCUUAUUCAAGUCAGCAGCUAGACCACCCAUGCAUUAAAAUAACGGCACUGGCUUUCCCCACAGACUGUAUCUGGGAUUUUGAAAUCACCACUGUGGAGAGUUCUAUUUUAUGGAAGAAAAUGUUUAAUUAGAAGAAGCAAUACCAGAAUCAGUAAACUGAUUCAUUCAUUCAUCCAUCCAUCCAUCCAUCCAUCCAUCCAUCCAUCCAUCCAUCCAUCCAUCCAUCCCUGUCUAUUUACUUGAGACAGAGACUUGCUAUGCAGCCCCAGCUGGCAUUGAACUCAUGGAGAUCCACCAUGCCCAGCUAGAGCUUUUUUUUUUUCUUUUUUAAAGUGGGCAGAUUAGCUAUUAUAGAAUAGUACAAAGCAAGAGAUUUAUCUAUGAAAUUCAGUUUGCAGAAAAGUCCAUUUUAAACAAAAUCAUUUUGUUAAAAUCAAGGAAAUACAAAAGCUGGGCACUGGACUGUACAAAGUGUGUAGAAGUGCCGAGGCUGUGAAAUGGCCUGCAUCACACAUGCGGUGCAGAUGCAGAGGAGCCGAGCUGUGUGUGAGGAGACAGAAGGGCCUCGGAGGGCAGGAAGGCGCGGGGCCAAUGACUGAAGUGGGGUUGUGGCUAGGGAAGGCUUGCUGUCUUUUUUUAUGGUCAAAUGUUCAGUUUCCCAACCAAGUGUGGUGGGAGGAGGGUAGUGCAUCCCCAAGCCAAGCUUCAUUCUUGGGCUUUUCCUUCUUAUCCCCUUGGCUGAGGAUUCUGCUCUGACCAGGUCAGAGUUUAUACUUUAUUUCUCAAAAAUCUUACUUAUUUCAGCUUCCAGUGACAGCACAUGCUUCUAAUACUAUCAUUCAGAAAUGAAGUGUAGUGGAUCUUUUGAGUUCAAGACCAGCAAGAGUUACAUAAUGAGACCCUAUCUUAACGUUUUUUUUUUAAUUUUAUGCAUCAUCUAAAAAAAUAUUUACAUCAAAGCUGCCAUGAAAUGGAAGUGUUAGUUAUUUUUAGACUUCAAUAGACCUUUGGUUUCUAUAGCAAAGGGAAUUCUGGUCUGUAUCACACUGUUCUAAGAACACUCAAAAUCCAGACUAUUCACAUGGCAUGUUUCCACAGGGACACUGGACUGACACAACAAAAGUUCUGUACAGCAACAGGUGAAGAAGCAUCACGGAUGGGUAGGAAUGGAGAGGAGGAAGCAGGAUGCUGCCAUGUUACGGGCUCAUGCUUUGUCUAAACAAGUCUGAACUUGGAGCCAAAGUGUUAAACCACAGAGAUACAAAUCCAAAUGAGACAACUACCCAAAUCAUAAACACCUGCUUAGUCUAGAAGUAACUCCAGGAAGAUGUGUAGUGACCAGCAGCACAUGCUUUGCUGAACGAGGGUGAGAAGCAUGCAUGCCCCACAAGGAGGCUCUCACUGCUGUGUGAGGGCUGAG